GUGAGGAAUAUUGGGCAAUGGUCGGAAGACUGACCCAGCCAUGCCGCGUGCAGGAAGACGGCCCUCUGGGUUGUAAACUGCUUUUAUCUGGGAAGAAAAAGGCCAUGCGUGGCAAAUUGCCGGUACCAGAUGAAUAAGCACCGGCUAACUCCGUGCCAGCAGCCGCGGUAAUACGGAGGGUGCGAGCGUUGUCCGGAUUUAUUGGGUUUAAAGGGUGCGUAGGCGGCUGAUUAAGUCAGCGGUGAAAGACUUCGGCUUAACCGGAGCAGUGCCGUUGAUACUGGUUGGCUUGAGUGUCGGAGGGGUACAUGGAAUUGAUGGUGUAGCGGUGAAAUGCAUAGAUACCAUCAGGAACACCGAUAGUGAAGGCAUUGUACUGGCCGACAACUGACGCUGAUGCACGAAAGUGUGGGGAUCGAACAGGAUUAGAUACCCUUGUAGUCC
rnacentral:rRNA from 1 species